rnacentral:rRNA from 1 species
CCUACGGGUGGCAGCAGUGGGGAAUAUUGGACAAUGGGCGAAAGCCUGAUCCAGCCAUGCCGCGUGUGUGAAGAAGGCCUUCGGGUUGUAAAGCACUUUCAGUGGGGAAGAAAGCCUUGGGGCUAAUACCCUCGAGGAAGGACAUCACCCACAGAAGAAGCACCGGCUAACUCCGUGCCAGCAGCCGCGGUAAUACGGAGGGUGCGAGGUUAAUCGGAAUUACUGGGCGUAAAGCGCGCGUAGGCGGUCUGAUAAGCCGGUUGUGAAAGCCCCGGGCUCAACCUGGGAACGGCAUCCGGAACUGUCAGGCUAGAGUGCAGGAGAGGAAGGUAGAAUUCCCGGUGUAGCGGUGAAAUGCGUAGAGAUCGGGAGGAAUACCAGUGGCGAAGGCGGCCUUCUGGACUGACACUGACGCUGAGGUGCGAAAGCGUGGGUAGCAAACAGGAUUAGAUACCCCAGUAGUC